AGAUGCCAUCACUGGAGAGAGUGCAAUUUACCUUUUGUAUUAAACUAAGAGGUCCCAAAAGAAUUUCCCUUGACCCAGAGUUUCCAUGAACAAAGACUAAAAGCUUUUUAAAGCAACCUCUGCUGCACGUUUCUAUUUUAAUUUGCGAAAAGUAUGCCAGAGUACAGCAAAGACUUUUCACUGAAGAAGCUGGGCUAAUGGAACCUAGGAAAGCAUCAACUCCUUGUGAAACAGUCGUAAGAUGCAUGUAAGCAACCACUCUGCUUUCUAUUAGCUGGGAAGUGCUGAGAAGACACAUGAUUUACUUAUUUGCCUUGAUAUUAAGGUCUCAAUAUAAAAGUAACCUGGCUAAGAAACAGUUACCUACAAUAAACCUUAAAUCUCU